CGGCGGACGCAAACCAGAAAAGACGACGAGGUCCUAAAUUUUACUUGACGGAAAGUGCAAGAAAACGAAGGAAAAAGGAAUCAGAACAGAGAAGAGGAAAGGCGAGAAUCUACAUCAGCAAGGAGAUAGAUAGAUGGCGAAAGAUAAAGGAAGAUCCUCGCACUGGAUACUGAUUCUAAAUUCGCGAAGCUGCUGCUUGACAGUUAUGAAUUUAAGAAAAUAUCAGAUAAAUCCACCACCUCAACCGAUCACAUCGAUAUCCAUAUGCAUUCCACACCUGCAAGAAGAUAUAUACCUCCACGAGAGUGUUCAGAAAGUGAAGUCACUAUAAGUGGUUCAGAAAUGUCAGGAGUGUUUGUGCAAGAAUCUUGGAAACACAUGUCAUUGCCUGGACCAUCCACAAGUGAUUUUCAGUAAGCACAGUAUGUACAUGUACCAGUAUGUAUUUGCAUUAUUGCUGGUUUGUAAUUCGGAGUACGAGGGCAUUCUAUAAUAUUGAUAUAUAAGUCUAAAUGAUCUCAAGAAAAAUGAGUCGUGUCUUUUCAGAGAAUGUUUUAAUGUUUCACAAGAGAAUAUAUUUUAGAUAGUCAAACCUCUGUCGUCUGUGAAUAAUGAAUCUGCUAUGUUUAUUUGUAUGUGUAUGUAAAUUAUGAAUCUGUUAUAUAUAUGUGUG